AUUGAACGCUGGCGGCAGGCCUAACACAUGCAAGUCGAGCGGAGCGGCGGACGGGGGAGUAAUACCUAGGAAUCUGCCUGGUAGUGGGGGAUAACGUUCGGAAACGGACGCUAAUACCGCAUACUAUCAGUUGAGCCUUGGUCUGAUUGGUUAGUUGGUGAGGUAAUGGCUCACCAAGGCUACGAUCCGUAACUGGUUUGAGAGGAUGUUCAGUCACACUGGAACAGGGCCACGGUGCAGUAUCCUCCGGGGGGCAUCAGUGGGGAAUGUUGGACAGUGGGCGAAAGCCUGAUCCAGCCGUGCCGCGUGUGUGAAGAAGGUCUUCGGAUUGUAGAGCACUUUAAGUUGGGAGGCGUUACCGACAGAAUAAGCACCGGCUAGCUCUGUGCCAGCCGCCGCGGUAAUAC
rnacentral:rRNA from 1 species